CCUUCGAUAGCUCAGUUGGUAGAGCGGAGGACUGUAGUGACAUGAGCUGAAAUCCUUAGGUCGCUGGUUCAAUUCCGGCUCGAAGGA
rnacentral:tRNA from 1 species